CCCUUAGAUGUUCUGGGCCGCACGCGUGCUACACUGAGUGGAUCAGCGGGUCAGGUUGCGCGAAAGUGUUUCCUAAUCUUUAAAUCCGCUCGUGAUGGGGAUUGACGGUUGCAAUUUUCCGUCAUGAACGAGGAAUACCUUGUAAGCGCGGGUCAUCAUCCCGCGCUGAAUACGUCCCUGCCCUUUGUACACACCGCCCGUCGCUCCUACCGAUUGAGUGGUCCGGUGAGGCUUUGGGAUCUGGGCGGAAAGAGCGUUUCGCUGUUUCUGCCCGGAAAACUCAGUCGAACCUUAUCAUUUAGAGGAAGGAGAGGUCGUAACA
rnacentral:rRNA from 1 species